rnacentral:rRNA from 1 species
GUGGCGAACGGGUGAGUAACACGUGAGCAAUCUGCCCUUGACUCUGGGAUAACUGCGGGAAACUGUAGCUAAUACCGGAUACUUUCCUCGCUGGGCAUCCAGCGGGGAAGAAAGAAUUUCGGUCAAGGAUGAGCUCGCGGCCUAUCAGCUAGUUGGUGAGGUAAUGGCUCACCAAGGCGACGACGGGUAGCCGGCCUGAGAGGGUGACCGGCCACACUGGAACUGAGACACGGUCCAGACUCCUACGGGAGGCAGCAGUGGGGAAUAUUGCACAAUGGGCGAAAGCCUGAUGCAGCAACGCCGCGUGAGGGAUGAAGGCCUUCGGGUUGUAAACCUCUUUUAGCAGGGAAGAAGCGAAAGUGACGGUACCUGCAGAAAGAGCACCGGCUAACUACGUGCCAGCAGCCGCGGUAAUACGUAGGGUGCAAGCGUUGUCCGGAAUUAUUGGGCGUAAAGAGCUCGUAGGCGGUUUGCCACGUCUGCUGUGAAAAUCCGAGGCUCAACCUCGGACUUGCAGUGGGUACGGGCAGGCUAGAGUGCGGUAGGGGAGAAGGGAAUUCCUGGUGUAGCGGUGGAAUGCGUAGAUAUCGGGAAGAACACCAGUGGCGAAGGCGCUCUGCUGGGCCAUAACUGACGCUCAUGGACGAAAGCCAGGGGAGCGAAAGGGAUUAGAUACCCCUGUAGUCCUG